AUGAACGCUGGCGGCAGGCCUAACACAUGCAAGUCGAGCGGGUGCCUUCGGGUGCUAGUGGCGGACGGGUGAGUAACGCGUGGGAACAUACCCUUUGGUACGGAAUAGCCUCGGGAAACUGAGAGUAAUACCGUAUGUGCCCUUCGGGGGAAAGAUUUAUCGCCAAAGGAUUGGCCCGCGUUGGAUUAGGUAGUUGGUGGGGUAAUGGCCUACCAAGCCGACGAUCCAUAGCUGGUUUGAGAGGAUGAUCAGCCACACUGGGACUGAGACACGGCCCAGACUCCUACGGGAUGCAGCAGUGGGGAAUCUUAGACAAUGGGGGAAACCCUGAUCUAGCCAUGCCGCGUGAUCGAUGAAGGCCUUAGGGUUGUAAAGCUCUUUCAGAUGGGAAGAUAAUGACGUUACCAUCAGAAGACGCCCCGGCUAACUCCGU
rnacentral:rRNA from 1 species